rnacentral:tRNA from 13 species
GGGCUCGUAGCUCAGGGGCAGAGCGGGCGGCUCAUAACCGCUUGGUCGUAGGUUCGAAACCUACCGAGCCCACCA